rnacentral:rRNA from 1 species
UAAAAGUUAGGAUCUAUAAAAUUAAAUAAUUUGGCGGUAAAUUAAUUUGUUUAGAGGAACUUGUUUUAUAAUUGAUAUUACACAUUUUUUCUUACCUUAAUAUUUUUGUUUGUAUACCGCCGUUAAAAUUAAUGUUUUUGUAGAAUUAAUUUUUAUUAAGAUAAUUUCUUUUUUAUCAGGUUAAGGUGCAGUUUAUUUUGAGGGGUUUAAUGAGUUACAAUUUAUGAAAUAAAUUAUGGAAUUUAAAUUGAAUAAAUUUAAUUGAAGGUGGAUUUGAAAGUAAAAUUAUAUUAAUAAGAUUAUUUGAAUUUAACUCUAUUUUAUGU